UACGUAGGGUGCAAGCGUUGUCCGGAAUUAUUGGGCGUAAAGAGCUCGUAGGCGGUCUGUCGCGUCGGCUGUGAAAAACCCGAGGCUCAACCCUCGGGCCUGCAGUCGAUACGGGCAGACUAGAGUGUGGUAGGGGGAGACUGGAAUUCUCGGUGUAGCAGUGAAAUGCGUAGAUAUCGAGAGGAACACCAGUGGCGAAGGCGAGUCUCUGGACGACACCUGACACUGAGGCACGAAAAGCUA
rnacentral:rRNA from 1 species